CUCUGCCCCCUAACUGACGACUUUGUCAUUAUGUGCCACAAUGAACCCCGGCCUGCAGUGGCUGUAAGACGCUGCCCCCACCGCCCACUGACCCACUAUUCUCCCCGGCGUCAGAUUACGCCAAAGGCAGGUGACCUACAGCCCACUAUUCUGCCCGGCGUCAGUUUACGUCAAAGCCAGGUGACCUACAGCCCACUAUUCUGCCCGGCGUCAGUUUACGUCAAAGCCAGGUGACCUACAGCCCAGUAUUCUGCCCGGUUUCAGUUUACAGCAAAGGCUGUAGACAGACGCUUGCCAUGCUGCCCAGUGUCGAUUCAUGCCAAGGGCGGGUGACCGAACGCUAGCUAUUCUCCCGGCGUCAGUUUACGUCAAAGCCAGGUGACCUACAGCCCACUAUUCUGCCCGGCGUCAGUUUACGUCAAAGCCAGGUGACCUACAGCCCAGUAUUCUGCCCGGUUUCAGUUUACAGCAAAGGCUGUAGACAGACGCUUGACCAUGCUGCCCAGUGUCGAUUCAUGCCAAGGGCGGUGACCGAA